rnacentral:rRNA from 1 species
GGUAACCUGCGGAAGGAUCAUUG